ensembl:lncRNA
AAGAAAUCAAGUCUUGAAAUGAGGGCAAAGUCAUAAUUUAAUACAUGUAACAUUUGUAACAGAAAAGAAAGUUGUUUUUUUGCAUGUUCUGAUUUUUUAGCCAAAUCUACGUCUACGUUCUGAUAUAUCUGAUCGUGUCCUUCUCACCCUCGAGCACGAACUGCUUCAUCUCGAUCUCGUAGAACUUGUUGGUGCCGAUGAUGAUGCUGUAGCUGGUCAGAUGGAUGCAGCUGCAGGGCUCCAAGAUCCCACUCGCCUUGCGAAUGCAGUAUUUGUUGAGAUUUUCGUUGUAGCGCAGAAUAGUUAUCUUGUUGGGCAUUGCUGCACAUAUACAAGGCCCGUUGUCGAUCUACAAAAAGGAAACACACACGUCACUUUCUUAAGCACACACAAGUCCUAGAAAGCGCUUUUAAAGUCAGGAGCUUUUAUCUCCGGUUUCAAGGAGGAGCAGAAGAAACCUACUCUCCCCGCGGCAAACAGAUGGCAGCCCUUCACCGUCUCGAAGAUGUAAGGAGCCAGUUCGGACUGGCUGGGCAGGUGCGACUGGGCCAGAGACUGCUUCACUCGCUUAAUCUCCACCAGACACAAGGCCCGCUCGUCCCCUGCAGCGCACACAGGCAGGCGUCACACGGCAGCUGAUGUUCCAGCGCCGUCCACGUGGGAAAAAACAUCUCCAAGUCUCACCAGAAAUAUUAGAUGGCAGUUUUUUAAUCUUUCUUUAUGAUGAGCUUCAAUUAUGCCAAUUACUUUCAAUGGCUUUUUGAUUUAUGAACAACACUCCCCGAAUGAAAUGAACUGAACGUCUAGACUCAGAUCGUUGCUGCUCAGGAGAAAGUUCUCAUCUCUUGUCGAUAACAAAGCUGAACAUCUCACCAACGAUCAUCAGCAGUUUCUCCUGCUCUUUGAUGAUGUGGAUCUGAAAGACUGAUCCCAGGCCAGGGAUGUGAGUUAGAGAGUUCUUGAUAACAUUCAGGGCAUACAGACCCUCUUCAGAGCCCACCAUAACUAUCUGCAGCACAGCAAGAAAACAUCAUUAACAUGAGCAGAAUUAUUUCGGUGAACAUGGUGCCAUUUCAAACAGGAGCAGCAUGUUGCAGACCUUGGCAGAGAGCCUCGAGCAUCUGCUCUGUGCUCCGUGUCCCUUCAUAAAUUAACAUCAUUCUAAAUAACUGCUACUGUGGAUUAAAUAUGAAUACGAUAAAAUGCCUUUAAAGAAAGUAGUUUUAUUAUUUAGGCAACAAGACGAAGAAUAUGUUUACCGGAUGUUUUCACUAAGCUCCAAUAAUUGUGAUUUAAUAUAAUGUCAUGCAUGCCGGUACCUGAUCGGUGAGGGGGAGGGUGCAGUUUAUGUCCAGCCUAUCGUCUCCCUCCAGCUUCAGGAGAGAGUUCCCCAGCAGCUUCUGCAAAAAGCACAGAGAGGUGAGGGGUCAGCGGGGUCACGACCUCAACGUGACCCUGGGGGGGGGGUGACAGCAUAGGAGCAGAACGGUGGGGGCAGCACGGUGUGCAGGGUUAAGGGAGGUCAGAGGUCACAAGUCGGUCUCUAGUUUUAAGUCCAGUCGCAAAGUGGGUGAAGUUAGUGCAUUGCACACUUUCAACAUUGCUCCCCAUUAGAUAAAGCUGUUACAUAAAAUACAAAUAUAGUAAAAAAUGAAGGGUUUAAUAUGACUAUAGUUGCAAUUUUUUCGCGCUUCGUCUGGCAUUUUUGUUGCUUCAUCUUGGAUGUGUGCUUACUAUCUAGUCGCAAGGUUUUAUAGAGGUAAUCCACUCUACACAGUGUAACAUUUCUAUUCAGCAUCUUAAAAGUUGGCAAAAAGUUUAAGAAAAUGUUGGUUUCAGGUCAUUCGGAUAAAUGCCAAACACAACGCUAACUCCUACAACCCAUUAAAAGUCCAGUUGACAUUGCCCAGUUUGUCUCAGAUGAGUCAGUCGUGUGUCUUGAGUCUCCAUAGAGGGUGCAGAGGGAGCAGCGGGGGGGUUAAAAACACAGACGAGUGCAGCAGCAGGUGGAAACCCGCUCUCUGAUCCCUGGUCCUGCGGGAAGGACGCCUGAAGGGGAUCAAACAUCAGCCCAGAGAUGAUCAAACAUCUGGCUGAGAAGUUGCACUGUGGUUAUUAAACAGAACACCAAAGACUCGUUUCAGCGGCGUUGAAACUAUUGCAUGGACGCAGAGUCGCCACCGGACGUGACAGUGAAGCAGAGACGGGUGAGAGUGAGGAGUGAGUCGCAGCAGGUGAGGUGAGAGCAGGGAAGGGGGGGGGGGGGGGGUGACGGAUACAUGCUCUGCUGCGUGCCUCGCGAAGGAUCUGCAGGUGUGUGUGUGUCAAGUCGGUCGCAUAUCUGGAUCUGUGUAACUUUUUACCUGGACCAGAGGAGUCAGAACCAUUUGUCUUUUGGACACAGCAGCCUAUGUUUGCAAUGAAACCCAAUGGAACGGGCAGAAUAGAGGGAAAUCAACAAAAAGGCGCCCGUAUGCCGGACAUACAACGCGGCACGGUGAAAAAAAAAAAAAGUAACACACAGCAGUGAGAAAGACAAAGAGACAGAGGAGGGAAAGAGAAGAGGAGAGAAGAAGGAGACAAUUAACGACAGGUAUAAGUGACCCGGGUGGGUUGUUAAUUUAAAACUCCAAACCUAAAGCCCAGGUCUCUGACUUCAUUCUCCGCCGGCUCUCUCAAACAGGGAGACUACGGCUGGAUGGUGUCAACGGUGGCGGUUCAUGAAACGCACGGACAGACGUUAAGGACAACAGAGACACUCACUGCGUCGGCCUCGGCCUUCUCCCGCGAGGCUCGCGCCCCGGCCACCACGGACUCCAUCACGGCCACCCAGCGCUGUUUGUCGGGGAAACUGGGAGCCAUGAAGUAAAUCAGCUGUCCGGGCCAGCAGGGGGUGUGACAGCGGGACUCCAGCUUCAGGACGUAGGGAACAUCUGACGGACAGGUAUCACAGGUGAGGCUCAUGAUUAUGGACGACGUCGUGAAUGAGCCCUCGGGGGGGGGGUCACCGGUGCCAAACGUGGGGAACAAUAACCGGAAUACUGUGUGGAGACUCUUUAACACUUUGUGGAUUGUACCUGACUUGGCGGUGUUGGGCAGUUCCGAUGCUCCCACCGCCCCGUGAACAACCACCUCUCCGUCUGACAAACACAUGUCAAACUCCUCCAGUGGCUUCACUGAAUCUGAGUAAUACGCACAACGACAACAAAACAAACAUUAGAUAACUGAUGCCCUCUGUUGGGUUUCUGAAACGCUGCUGUCACACAGGCAAAAGAAGGAAACCUUCUCUGGGCUCAGUCUCGUAGAUGGAUACUUUGGUCCCAUCCAGGACCAUGUACCUCCUCUCCCAGCCCUGGCCUCGCUUCCCACUCCUGCAGACACACCAAGCAACUGCGUCACCACGAGAUGAUGUUUGGAAACCAAAACAAAUGCCUUUGUUUAAACUGGGUUUAGUAGCAGAUGGGUGGGCUUCGCCAGACAGAACCUUGCUAAAAAGCCUGGGUGCCAAUGAGGGAGCACGAAAGGGAAACUACUGUGUAUGAGGGUGCUCCCCUGGGCUCAAAUAUAAAAGAGCAGAGAGAGGAAAGCUGGAACAACGACAUGGUGGCGUCCAUUGCUGACCUGGGCUGCUUCAUCCAGCCCUCCAGGUGCAUGUGACCGCUGGCCUCCUUGACCUGCUGGCCCGGGGAGCUGCCUUUGUCCCGACACGGGCCCUCCGACAGAUGCAGCGAGCAGUCGCUGGACAUGCCACACGUGGCCGAGAGGCAGGGCGAGCAUUUCGGGUGGCACAGCGCGUGACAUUCUGAGGAGGAAGACAAACGUUGUCACACUGAGAAACAGCCAAGAAAUGGACCACGAAAAUGUGGCGUUCAGCAGCUGUCAUGCAAAGGUGUGCAAACGCAUUCACGAAACUUUCCAGGGGUGUAUUUGAAAUCAAAAUCAAGGUGGUGUUCAUUUGUAAAGAUUAUCUGGCUGAACAAACCGUAUUCACAACUAGUGUUUGUCACAGAGCUUAUUUCCUGCAAUAAUCCCAAAUCCUUUCUGUCAGGGGAACCGGUGCAGUAGUAACUUUGGGGUUGGUCUGCAGAAGUACAUAAACCCUGCAGCACUCUACACUUUUUUGAAAAAUAAAAGACUCAUAUUCUUGUCUCAGACACAAAAGUCCUGUGCUUUUUAAAAGGUUAAGAACAAUGGGAGUGGACAUCAGCCGCCACAGUUUCACACAUCAAACCAACCUCCUCCUUUUCUGUGUCAUAAUCUCCAUUCAUACAAUAGAAAACACGUAAUACAUAAUACAUACACAAGAACAAAUGACAGGCAGGCUGAAGUUUCAAAGGGUUUUUUUCUUUUUUUUUUUUCUACACAAAAUGGGUAACUCACCGAGACAAGUGGCAGCCUGGCGACCAAAGUGCACGGUAUCCAGGCACACGGUGCACUUGGCGGCCCUCAUGUUGAGUCCCACUGUGAAGCGGUGAGGGGUGUUGUUGUGGUGCACCGGCCUCUCUCUCUCCCUGUCUCUGUCUCUCUGACUGUCCUUCAAACGACGGCUAAACUCUGGACACAGCGAGGGGACACAGUGAGGGCCGGCGGCUCCAGCGCGCCUCGCUUCCCGCGUGUGCAUCACUUGAAAACCUCAGUGCGCCAUGCCGUACCCGCCGGGAAAUCAGGCUUCAACUUAAGACGGCUUCCAACAAAACUUUAAGCUGUUUGGCAAAAACGCAUAAGCAAGUAAACUCUGGAGACAAAGAUGGUUGAAAAGGACUAUUGAUUUGACAAUCCCUGGUGCUUGUACCCCCCUCACUGUUAAAGGCAUUAUCCAGCCAGUACCACAUUUGUGUCCUGUGCUGUGUUUGCACAUUUCUCAAUUUACUGCGAGUGUUGAUGUUAGCAACAUGUUUCAUACAAUCAAGAGAAUAAUGAGAAUUGCUCUCUUUUUUUCCCUACACAAAAUUAGAAUCACGUUAUAAACCAGACCAGGCGAUCAUCCGGGCUUAACUUGCGGUACAUUUUGUUGCAACCCAUUUUAUCAGAACAAAUAGGUUGACUGAAUAAUACCUUUACCACAGUGUGGGUUCAAGCAGCGCGAUCGCAGAGUUUAUAACAUGGUGCAUCUCUGUUAGUGUAUGAAGUGAAGUUCAGGUGGGAUUGCAGUGAGUUAAGGAGCAGAGCAGAGUUCUGCCAAUCAGAUUGGGCUUUGAUAAAAUGCUUCGGAUUUCUAAAGCUGUGCACUCUGGCAGCUUCACCGGACCAGCCUGCUCCGAUCUCACAUUUCUAGAAAAGUGCACAGCUUUUAAAAUCCGGCCUUUCGAGGAUGUGGAUGAGGCAAAAGGAGAAGAGAGAUAAGAGACCAAACUGAGGAAACCAUAAGUUUGGACAACUUACUUUCAAAAGUGACCCUCCUUCUCUCUGAAAGGUGUUUGAAAGAAAAAGGAUAGUAAGCGUUUUCAUAAAUGAUCCUUGGCGAGUGACAUUGUACGUGUGUGUCUAUGUGUGUGCAGGUGAGGGCCAGCGUUGAGUCACUGAGGAGCCGUAAAACCAGCAUGUAUGUGUUUGUUUUUUAGACAAACGGCGUCUCUCAUGUAGGCGCCGACCCCGCACUCACCCUCGGGCGUCGCAGCCGCCUUCCUGCGCUCUGAGUUGGAGGGUGCCAGGGCGGUCGGACCCUGCUGGUGCUCGGGAGACUUCACCAUGGCAGACAUAAUCAUCUGCUGCCGCGCCGAGGCCGGGUUUGCCGAGUUACCGUGGUCCUUAUACGGGAGAGCUGGGGAUGGAAUAAUAUUGUAGUGUGCAGCAUCCCGACAUUCGUUUGAUCAGAGUGUGCAAACCGUCGCAGCCUCACCUUCUUCUCUCAGAGACCGCAGCUCCGCCCUCAUUUUCUGCAGGGCCUCCUCCAGGUCGGAGCAGCGGGAACGCUCUUUGUCCAGAGCGAUUUUCAUGUCGCUGUACUGCAGAGGCACCGGCUGGAUGGAGGGCACGGGGGAAACCGGGCCUGGACCCUGACCCGGACCCUGACCCUGGGCCUGAGCGGCCAUGGCGGCCAAAAGGUCCUCUCGACGGCGCCCAAACAGACCCUGAGACCAAGGAAGCACAGCUGUGUUUGAAACCAUACUUUGAACCUUACUUUUCCCCUGGUUCUAUUUGGUGAUAAUUUGGUGAACUCGUCUUGAAGGAGGUUUCUUGAAGUUGUGAAUGAAUUGAUAAAAACAUGGAUGUCCU